rnacentral:rRNA from 1 species
CGCCUUUUGACUAUAAUAAAAGGUCCAGCCUGCCCAGUGAUAAAUUUAACGGCCGCGGUACCCUAACCGUGCAAAGGUAGCAUAAUCACUUGUUCUUUAAAUAAGGACUUGUAUCAACGGCAUCACGAGGGUUCUACUGUCUCCUCUCUCCAAUCAGUGAAACUGAUCUCCCCAUGAAAAAGUGGGGAUAAACUUAUAAGACGAGAAGACCCCAUGGAGCUUUAAAACCUAUAGCAACCUAGCAAAGCUAUAAAAUAAUGCUCAAGGACUUUAGGUUGGGAGGACCACGGAGCACAAAAUAACCUCCGUAAUGAAAAGAAUAAGAUCUUUACCAAAGAGCCACAACUCUAAGAAUUAGAAAACUAACGUACAUGACCCGAUAUCGAUCAAUGAACUAAGUUACCCUGGGGAUAACAGCGCAAUCCACUCUGAGAGUUCAUAUCGACGAGCGGGCUUACGACCUCGAUGUUGGAUCAGGGUAUCCUGGUGGUGCAGCCGCUACCGAAGGUUCGUUUGUUCAACGAUUAAAACCCU